AGCGGUGGAGCAUGUGGUUUAAUUCGAUGCAACGCGAAGAACCUUACCUGGUCUUGACAUCCACAGAACUUUCCAGAGAUGGAUUGGUGCCUUCGGGAACUGUGAGACAGGUGCUGCAUGGCUGUCGUCAGCUCGUGUUGUGAAAUGUUGGGUUAAGUCCCGCAACGAGCGCAACCCUUAUCCUUUGUUGCCAGCGGUCCGGCCGGGAACUCAAAGGAGACUGCCAGUGAUAAACUGGAGGAAGGUGGGGAUGACGUCAAGUCAUCAUGGCCCUUACGACCAGGGCUACACACGUGCUACAAUGGCGCAUACAAAGAGAAGCGACCUCGCGAGAGCAAGCGGACCUCAUAAAGUGCGUCGUAGUCCGGAUUGGAGUCUGCAACUCGACUCCAUGAAGUCGGAAUCGCUAGUAAUCGUGGAUCAGAAUGCCACGGUGAAUACGUUCCCGGGCCUUGUACACACCGCCCGUCACACCAUGGGAGUGGGUUGCAAAAGAAGUAGGUAGCUUAACCUUCGGGAGGGCGCUUACCACUUUGUGAUUCAUGACUGGGGUGAAGUCGUAACAAGGUAACCGUAGGGGAACCUGCGGUUGGAUCAC
rnacentral:rRNA from 1 species